rnacentral:tRNA from 1 species
UUUUUUAUAGUGUAAUACCAACACAUUACAUUUUCGUUGUAAAGCUGAAGAUAUAAAUUUCUUCUAAAAAUA